rnacentral:tRNA from 1 species
AGCCUCACAGCGAGUAGCGGAUUUCUACUCCGUGGGUUGCAGGUUCGAAUCCUGCUGGGGCCA